CCGUGUGGCGCUGGAGUGGGAGAGCGCCUCUUCUGAUUGGCCUACCGUGUGGUGCUGGAGUGGGAGAGCGCCUCCUCUGAUUGGCCUACCGUGUGGCGCUGGAGUGGGAGAGCACCUCCUCUCGGUCACUGACUACAGGCACUGAGUAGAAGGAUGGCCCAUGUUGACAAAUCCUGAAGUAGAAUACUGUGGAGUUUAAACUACUUGACCAUAUCCAUGUAGAAGUCCAAGGGCCUAAACAUUGUUCAUACACUGGAUGACAUUAUUUCCAGGAUUAAAGAAACCUUCAGAGCUGUUGUCAAGACCCAUUGAAGAAGAGUUUCAGGAGCAAUGAGGCCAGAAUCCACUGCAUCUCCGCCUCGAGGUAAUUGUGUCGGAAUAGCUCACCGGAAGAGGAAGAAUUCCCGCGGAGCGUGAGCAGAUGGCUUUCCGGGUGCGAGUGUUCAUGCCUGCGCUCUCCUCGUAUAUGGACACUGAUUGGCAUCCCAUGGACAUCAGUGGGUCAAAAUCAACUCUCCAUUCAUAUACCAGAGCAUUGAUUCCUGGCUCUUGGAGCUCCCCCUGGUUUUAAAUCUCCGUCUUGUUUAGCUCUGUGCUCCCAAUCACUUCCCCUGGUGAAUGAUGGUGACAGUGUUCAGGAUGUCAGCUGUAUUGCCAAGCCCCUGACUGUUUGGGACUUCUUUUUUUUUUAAAGAACAGCAAGGCGUUGGGUUACUUGUGAUAUUUUACAGCACAGCUUCUAUGCUUGCUACUGUGGCGAUCAUUAUGUUGGCAAAUUACAAAUGUACACAUCUGUUUUGAUCUUUAAAUGCUUGGUGAUGUACUGUUCAAAUAUGCAUAUCUUUUCAGCUAUAAAGACCUUAAAGUGUCA
ensembl:lncRNA